UACGUAGGGGGCAAGCGUUGUCCGGAUUUACUGGGCGUAAAGAGCGCGCAGGCGGUCGUUCAAGUCGCGUGUGAAAGCCCCCGGCUCAACUGGGGAGGGUCACGCGAUACUGAUCGACUCGAAGGCAGGAGAGGGUAGUGGAAUUCCUGGUGUAGCGGUGAAAUGCGCAGAUAUCAGGAGGAACACCAAUUGCGAAGGCAGCUCGCUGGGACGUUACUGACGCUGAGACGCGAAAGCGUGGGGAGCAAACAGG
rnacentral:rRNA from 1 species